CUGUGUUUCCAUGGAAACGACAUAGGUCAAUAGCUGAAGUCACACCUUUGCCAGCCUUGAUUGCAUCUUGCAACUGUGAGGAAACACAUGCACAAUAUCAUCAAUUUUGAUAGAAAUAACUGCACACAGAAUGCUAAGAAAACAUUACGGAUUAUAAACUAAAAAUAAUAAUUCACCACCCUAAAAAGCACUAGUACUCUCUAAACAAUGGAACACCUCAAUCAAUUUAAAUUAUUAAUCACGUAUUGAUAACUCAAGGUUCCCUGAAAGAUGAAUAUAAGUACAUAGAAGGCUUUCAGAUACUCCUACAUGCGAUCAUUACUCAAUAUGAUUUUGUCCAAUGAAUGAUCUUAUAACAAAUUCAUGUACAUUUUUGUACUGAUUUUCACAACAAAGCAGAUGGAUAUGGACAUUCAUUUGUUAAUGUUCUAUAUCUAUAUCUAAAUAUAGAUAUAUGAUUUAGCAAUGUAUUUUAUUCUGUUUAUACACUGUACAUUUAGAUCUGGAAUAUACAUUUCAAAAUGAACUUUCUAUGAUCAUUGCAAUCUAUAGCCCCUUUACUCUGGAAUACCAUUCUCUCUACUCUCUAACUUUAAUACCAUUAAUCAGGAGGCAAAUAGGCUACUGUUGAUUUCAGCCCAUGCGGGUGAUCCACCAAACACUGCUAGUCUGCCAUCUUCGUUUAUUCCAAGGGGGAAAAUAACAUGGGUCUCAAGGAGACCUUCAGCCAACACACAAGAUAGGAGGACCUCGUUUCUCACCGUCACGACAUCUACAGUUCUGCAUAUCCGCGAUAAGGCAACUGACACCAGAACUUGUAUUCUAUCAGGAUUCCAAGUGAAAGACACUGUACCCAAACAGAUCCAGAAGAAUUAACAGAUUAUACACAGAUUCAGAGAAGGGAUUCUUCACUGGAACAAUCUGGCCUGCAUGAAUGAAUAUACAGUAUGAAGGGCAUUGCUACAACCUAAAUAUAAAUUUUCAUUUAAGACCUCCAAUGUAUUUUUGACAAAUAUCCUUAAGUUGUUACUUGAGCUGCAUAUUCCACAUUAUAUUAACUAUUAUAGUCGUCAAGACCCCAAGCGUCCUGAACACAGUUAUUAGGCUAAC